rnacentral:misc_RNA from 1 species
UCUCCGUAGGUGAACCUGCGGAGGGAUCAUUACCAGAGAUGGUGGGCUCCGGUCCCCGUCCCCAACCCUUUGUGAAUCGUACUCGUUGCUUCGGGGGCGACCCUGCCGUCCGCGGCUGAGCGCCCCCGGGGUCAAUCAAACACUACAUUCUCUGCGUCGGAGUAUUAGUAAAUCUAAUCAAAACUUUCAACAACGGAUCUCUUGGUUCUGGCAUCGAUGAAGAACGCAGC